CGUGUAGGCGGCGUGACAAGUCAGAUGUGAAAGCCCCGGGCUUAACCCGGGAAGUGCAUUUGAAACUGUCAGGCUUGAGUAAGGGAGAGGAAAGCGGAAUUCCUGGUGUAGAGGUGAAAUUCGUAGAUAUCAGGAGGAACACCGGUGGCGAAGGCGGCUUUCUGGCCCUAUACUGACGCUGAGACGCGAGAGCGUGGGUAGCAAACAGGAUUAGAUACCCUGGUAGUCCACGCCGUAAACGAUGUUCACUAGGUGUUGGGGGUAUUGACCCCCUCAGUGCCGCAGCUAACGCAUUAAGUGAACCGCCUGGGGAGUACGGUCGCAAGACUAAA
rnacentral:rRNA from 1 species